UUUUACUAACCUAAAUAGUAUCUUUUUAUAUUUGAAAAAAUUAUUCCUUAUUUUGUAUCUUUCAGUGAAAAAUAUUUUUUACUAAUUGUAAGUGCUUUGAUUGAUUAAUUAUAUUUAGUUUUUUCAAGGAUGUCUCUUCCAUAUACAUAAUCAUGAAUAGAAAAAUAUAUAAUCUGUGAUAUACACGUUACAUAUAUAACUCAAGGUAUGGAUAUAAAAAUUGUCUAGAUCAUCCUGAGUGUGAAUCAAAAAGAAAAAGUAUACGUUGGUACCUUUGAUAGACAACACAUCUACUGACAGAAAUUACCAUAAAAACUAUGUUGCUCCUUAAGGCUUUACAACAAAGUUGCAAAACGAAGACCACUUCAUCAAUAUUUGUACUGAAAUGGUCUUAGCUAAAAUUGUGUCGGUCCGUAUUUAUUUGGUCCAGUCUUAGGAAAGGUUCUUAUGAUGUCAGUCCUUUUGACUAUCAGUACUAUAACUGGUUAAAAGAAAAAGAAAUAAAGUUGAUUGACGUCAUCAAGGACAAAAUUGUAUAGGUUUUAGUACUGAACUGGACCUGAUUGAGAAGGAACUGGACGGGACUGCAAUCUUAAGUCCUAAUUAAGAUUUCACACAGCACUGAAGUGGACCUGAUUGAGAAUGAGGAGGAUAGUACUGCAGUCUUAAUCCCUAAAUAAAAACUAACACAA
rnacentral:lncRNA from 1 species